rnacentral:rRNA from 1 species
AUGGACAUCUACAGCGCGGUGUUCGUCUUCUGCGUCUACGCGGUGGGCACGAUGGAGGUGCAGGUGCUCUCUGCCAUGGCCCUGGCGCGCCGGAAGGCCGCCCCGCCGCCGACGGCGUCCAAGCUCGGGCGGAUGCUGGGCAGCUCCCUCUGCGUGUUCGUCGCCACCUACUUCCUGGUGCACGGCACCCUGAGCGUCCUCGCGCCGUGCCACUUCCAGUGCUUCCGUGUGCGGAUCGCUGCUCUCGUCGCCGGCGUCGUGGACCUCGCUGUCACCGCCAGCAUCAUGCCGGUAUGCUCUUGCGCCGCCCGUCCGUGUUGGUCUGCUAGCUCUUGGAUCUGA